rnacentral:rRNA from 1 species
CCCUUAGAUGCUCUGGGCCGCACGCGCGCUACACUGGUCGAUGCAACGAGUUUCUUUCCUUGGCCGACAGGCCUGGGCAAUCUUUGAACAUCGAUCGUGAUCGGGAUAGAUUCUUGUAAUUUUUGAUCUUAAACGAGGAAUUCCUAGUAAACGCAAGUCAUCAGCUUGCAUCGAUUACGUCCCUGCCCUUUGUACACACCGCCCGUCGCACCUACCGAUUGAAUGGUCCGGUGAAAUCUCCGGACUGGCGUGAGUCGGAGCAAUCUGACAAACGCCGGAAAGUUGAUUAAACCUUACCAUUUAGAGGAAGGUGAAGUCGUAACA